AGUUUUGAUUCCUGGCUCAGGACGANCGCUGGGCGGGCGUGCNUAAUACAUGCAAGUCGAACGAACUNNGGUAUUGAUUGGUGCUUGCAUCAUGAUUUACAUUUGAGUGAGUGGCGAACUGGUGAGUAACACGUGGGAAACCUNCCCAGAAGCGGGGGAUAACACCUGGAAACAGAUGCUAAUACCGCAUAACAACUUGGACCGCAUGGUCCGAGUUUGAAAGAUGGCUUCGGCUAUCACUUUUGGAUGGUCCCGCGGCGUAUUAGCUAGAUGGUGGGGUAACGGCUCACCAUGGCAAUGAUACGUAGCCGACCUGAGAGGGUAAUCGGCCACAUUGGGACUGAGACACGGCCCAAACUCCUACGGGAGGCAGCAGUAGGGAAUCUUCCACAAUGGACGAAAGUCUGAUGGAGCAACGCCGCGUGAGUGAAGAAGGGUUUCGGCUCGUAAAACUCUGUUGUUAAAGAAGAACAUAUCUGAGAGUAACUGUUCAGGUAUUGRCGGUAUUUAACCAGAAAGCCACGGCUAAYUACGUGCCAGCAGCCGCGGUAAUACGUAGGUGGCAAGCGUUGUCCGGAUUUAUUGGGCGUAAAGCGAGCGCAGGCGGUUUUUUAAGUCUGAUGUGAAAGCCUUCGGCUCAACCGAAGAAGUGCAUCGGAAACUGGGAAACUUGAGUGCAGAAGAGGACAGUGGAACUCCAUGUGUAGCGGUGAAAUGCGUAGAUAUAUGGAAGAACACCAGUGGCGAAGGCGGCUGUCUGGUCUGUAACUGACGCUGAGGCUCGAAAGUAUGGGUAGCAAACAGGAUUAGAUACCCUGGUAGUCCAUACCGUAAACGAUGAAUGCUAAGUGUUGGAGGGUUUCCGCCCUUCAGUGCUGCAGCUAACGCWUUAAGCAUUCCGCCUGGGGAGUACGGCCGCAAGGCUGAAACUCAAAGGAAUUGACGGGGGCCCGCACAAGCGGUGGAGCAUGUGGUUUAAUUCGAAGCUACGCGAAGAACCUUACCAGGUCUUGACAUACUAUGCAAAUCUAAGAGAUUAGACGUUCCCUUCGGGGACAUGGAUACAGGUGGUGCAUGGUUGUCGUCAGCUCGUGUCGUGAGAUGUUGGGUUAAGUCCCGCAACGAGCGCAACCCUUAUUAUCAGUUGCCAGCAUUAAKUUKGGCACUCUSKUGAGACUGCCGGUGACAAACCGGAGGAAGGUGGGGAUGACGUCAAAUCAUCAUGCCCCUUAUGACCUGGGCUACACACGUGCUACAAUGGAUGGUACAACGAGUUGCGAACUCGCGAGAGUAAGCUAAUCUCUUAAAGCCAUUCUCAGUUCGGAUUGUAGGCUGCAACUCGCCUACAUGAAGUCGGAAUCGCUAGUAAUCGCGGAUCAGCAUGCCGCGGUGAAUACGUUCCCGGGCCUUGUACACACCGCCCGUCACACCAUGAGAGUUUGUAACACCCAAAGUCGGUGGGGUAACCUUUUUAGGAACCAGCCGCCUAANGUGGGACAGAUGAUUAGGGUGAAGUCGNAACAAAGGGUAGCCA
rnacentral:rRNA from 1 species